ACCGCCGCAAUCAUUGCGAUCCCCUCCCCCUGCUCUCUCGUGCCUUCCCCUCCGUUCUAAUCCUGCCCAAUGCGGAAGCAAGAGUUCUGCUCGCUCACGUCCCUCCCGCAUCAUCCAAUCCCCGCACAAUCUCCUCUGGUUACUAAAAAAAUCCAGAUUCUCGAGCGCUUCCGAUCUCCAUCGGCCUCGGGUCCUCCAAGGUCACACUCUCGCCACCCGCUGGCCUCUCUCCUCCAAGGUCGUGCUCGCCGCCGGCCAGCCUCGCUCCUUGCGCGUCCCCGUUCUUCGCCCUCCCUAUUGCACUCACACCAUCGCCAUCGCCCUCGCCCUCGCUGUUGCACUCCGCAGCCGUCCUCUCCAAGAGACCAAGACCCCAGUGACCGAGUCAAUCUCGUUGUUUGCGUCUCCACAGCAAGGGGAACUCACAGAUGCACACGCCGAGACCGCGACCUCCCGCUACACCGACGCAUUGGCCAGCCGUUCUGCUUCCCCGUGCUGCCCGCACUUGGUCCGCGAUUGAAGCGUGCGGCUGGGGCAGGUGGGCAGAGCGGAGGAUUAGGGUGGCGGCGGCGGCACCAGCGCUCCCUUCCCGCACCGCACAAGAAGAAGAGGCCACCCUCUAGAUCUCCGCUCGAACCCAGCUAGGCCGUCGGCGGCGGCCGGGCGGCAAAAUCCGGCACACCGUACAACAAGGGCGUCUCCAUGUCUACACUGAACGCCACUUGGAUCUCAGCCUCACUCCUGAACAAUUUCCUCAUCUUGGAAGCAUGAAGAUAGCUGGCAGAAAGGAACAAAGACGCUGCAAGGAUGGCUGGUUGGCUCCAUUAUCUUAGUGAUGAAAAGAGGUUUCCAAAAACAAGACAGGUUGAAUUUGAUCUUGUUCUUGGUUCAAAUGGCAAGCAGUUCCGAACCCGCAGUAUUGAGGUUGUUCGAUUUGUAAAGUUACUUGAUGAGGCUAAAUCUUAGAGCACAUCAGAAUUACUAUAGUUGCUCACUGAAAAUGACAAAUUGGACUAUUUUGGAACCUUAUCUUUAUCCUCCAGGUGACUAUGAUAUUAUUUUUUGUUCAGGCAAAAUUGUGUUAGUGUUUGUAAUUUAUGUUAGUGCUUCUUUUAGUAAAUUAGCACAUGUGAAGUAAGACAAGAUAGUGCUUGUGUUAGUGUUGUUAGUGAUUAGCUUGUUUAUUUAUCAAUGCAUCUCACUAGCUUGGUUGUGGUUGACAUGAUCAUCCGCCGUAGGACUACCUAUAUUUGAUUUGCAGCUUGUGUUUGGUUUUAGCUAUUGUUUUUAUUUGCUCCCUUUUACUAUCAACAUUUGACCUAAUUAGAAUGCCUACUACCACCAGGAAACUAUAACAGAGAUAUUUUUGAUGAAAUAUAUUGUUCUGUAGUUUUAGUGGUCAGGUCUGGGUUACGUGACCCCAAGGGUAACUAAGUUUUAGUGGUGGUGCUCGUGUGAUUACUUGUGGGUUUGAGUUUGUCAUCUUUGUAUUUGAGCGUCAUGGUGUUGAAUGCUUCUUAUUGCCUAUAUAAUGUGUAAAGAUUAAGACGAAUUUUCUUGUC